UACGAAGGGGGGCUAGCGUUGUUCGGAAUCACUGGGCUUAAAGGGCGCGUAGGCGGGCAAGCAAGUCCGGGGUGAAAUCCCUCGGCUCAACCGAGGAAUGGCGCUUGAUACUGCAAGGCUUGAGGGAGACAGGGGUAAGCGGAACUGAUGGUGGGAGCGGUGAAAUGCGUUGAUAUCAUCAGGAACACCGGUGGCGAAGGCGGCCAUCUGGACGGUAACUGACGCUGAGACGCGAAAGCGUGGGUAGCAAACAGG
rnacentral:rRNA from 1 species